AGCAGGACGGUGGCCNUGGAAGUCGGAAUCCGCUNAGGAGUGUGUNACAACUCACCUGCCGAAUCAACUAGCCCUGAAAAUNAAUGGCGCUAGAGCGUCGUGCCUAUACCGCACCGUCGCCGCAUCGCGUGCGCCCCGGGUGCCAAGCGGCGACGAGUAGGAGGGCCGCUGCGGUNAGCACUGAAGCCUCGGGCGCGAGCCUGGGUGGAGC
rnacentral:rRNA from 1 species